GCCCCUAGCAAAAUACAAGUAUUAGGGGUAAUGCCUGCCCAGUGACAUUGUUAAACGGCCGCGGUAUCCUAACCGUGCAAAGGUAGCGUAAUAACUUGUCUUUUAAAUAAAGACUAGAAUGAAUGGCCAAACGAGGCUCCACCUGUCUCUUGCAGAUAAUCAGUGAAAUUGAUCUUCCCGUGCAAAAGCAGGAAUAACAUUAUAAGACGAGAAGACCCUGUGGAACUUCAAAUAUAAAAUCAACUAUUACUAACACCAAACCUAAUGGCAUAUACCAAACAACACCUGAUUUUUAUUUUCGGUUGGGGCGACCUCGGAGCAAAACAAAACCUCCGAAAAAGAAUUACUCAAAACCUAGAACCACAAUUCAAAGUGCUCCCGGCAAAGCGAUCCAAUAUAUUUGAUCAACGAACCAAGCUACCCCAGGGAUAACAGCGCAAUCCCAUCCAAGAGUCCCUAUCAACGAUGGGGUUUACGACCUCGAUGUUGGAUCAGGACAUCCUGAUGGUGCAGCCGCUAUCAAGGGUUCGUUUGUUCAACGAUUAACAGUCCUACGUGA
rnacentral:rRNA from 1 species